rnacentral:misc_RNA from 1 species
GUAUUGAUUGCGUGUUAUCGCAAAAAUGGGGGUCAUUCUACACUUUUAAAAUAGGGGUUUGUGUGAAAACGCAAGCCCCCCUCGAGACAGGCCAGAAGGGGACCCACGCGGUGGUGCACAGGGUGAGAUGGAUUGUUUGAGAGCGCUCGGGCGUGCACGACAAAAAAGUCAGCGACAGCCCUUGCACCUCAGUUUUACGAUAAUGAUCCUUCCGCAGGUUCACCUACGGAAA